GAGAAAAAUCGAACCCUAAUUGGAGAAGCUAAAUGACGAAAAAGGGCCUGAAUUGUAGGUAGGGAUGAAGUCCCCGACAAAUAAGUGUUGAGAAGGAAAAGGUGGGUAUCAUCCCACGUGUCACCAUGCAUGCAAAGGUCUUACAAUUUUGUAAUACAAGAGAAAAGGCGCUGAGGCUGAUCACUGUACCGGCGGAUCUAGGUGGUGUCGGCCGACCCCACCGCCGGCUCCGGUAAAUCGCCUGGAAACGCCCGCAAUUAGCCACCCAGUCUCUACAUCUCUGCGGCUAGAGAAGAAAGCUGUACUUAUGUUCCAUAUGCGCCAUGACCCACACGUGAUGGGGGUGGCCAAAUGUAGGAAAGGGUGAAUAUUGAGGGGUGCUAGGUGGAAAGUAAACGAUCAGGGUACGUUGCCACUGCCGCCUACUUGUGGAUGGUGGCGGCCAUAGGUGCGAACGACGAUGACAAUAGGAUGAGCUCAUCCAAGCAAUGAAUAAACCCUACAAUUUUAAUGGAUAAAUGAACUCCAUUUGAUAGUGAAUAUCGAACUCGGCACCUCAUAUAAUAAUGUUUAAGCUCGUUGCCGCUAGGACAAAGGCUCUGGACUUAUUUAGGCCUCAACUUAUAUUUAUCUUAGCUAAAAACAAAGUUUUUUUAGGUAAAUCCAAUAUAUUUAUUUAUUUUAAGACAAAUGUCACAUUAUUUUAAUUAUUUUUUUCUCCUCAUUAGAGCAUUCGCAAUACACGCCCUAGCAACCACAGUGCGGCUAGGUGGUCACCGGGCAGCUGGGCGCGUAUUGCGAGCGCCUAACCUAGAGGGGGAGAGAGAAACGCCCGAGCUCACGGUUGUCGCCGAGAACUGCUGGCCGGUCGCCCAGCGCCUAGCGACCGGCGAACAUUAUUUUUUUUGUUUUAUUUAUUAUUUUAACUCCAUAUAUAUGGCUCGUUACCAUUUAUUGUAUUCACACCACUUGUUCUACCGACUAAAAUUCUUCUCUAUUUUAUCGACCAAUCUAAGAGCAUCCACUACGCUGUCCCCCCACCGCCCCUUAAAUCACUAUUUGAGGGCCCCACUAUACUUUAUUCCUCCAUCCCUUAACUGAGGGACGGAACCUGCAACGCUCUGUCU